UGCAUGGAGAGAGGAAACUGAGGCCGUUAUCUUCAACAUCAUUUCGGCGAACUAUUCAAGAAAACGAAGAACUGAAGCGACGAGCUAUUCAAGAAAAUGAAGAACUGAAGCGACGUAAUGAGAACCUUCAAAAGAUAGUGGAUAUGCAUGGAAGACUUUUCUUGGCCCUUUUUAAGGAGAUGGGAAAAGAACUACCAGAGGAGCUACACCAAGGAGAAAGUUUCCAACCACAUGGGGGCACUAAUUCAUCUCAAAUUGGAACCCAAGCACUUGAUGACAACACCGGGAAUAUUGGCGACAUGGCUAUUGGUGCAACUAACCUUCACUCCAACAACCAGGAAAGCGAGACUUAGAGUGGUAGUAACCUGGGCAGUGCCUUUGUUGACUUAGAGCAGGGUAACACAACUUUGGAACUAAUGGUGGUGUUGGUAACAGAGUAGCAUUUUGGAAGUUGCAAUAGACACUAGAGGCAGGUUAUCUACUUCUGUGAAGUAUGUUGUAUUUUGUUUGUAAUGCACUGAAGCUUAUCCUUGCAACUUGCAAGUUGAACAAUUUAUCUUUUGUUGUCGAGAACUGUUAUGUACUUAGAUGUGCAAAACUAAA